AUUUAACGCUAGCGGGAUGCUUUACACAUGCAAGUCGAACGAGUGGCGGACGGGUGAGUAAUGCAUCGGAACCUGCCCAAUAGAGGGGGAUAACUACGGGACAGCGUGGCUAAUACCGCCUACUAUUGGAGAGGCCCAUGUGGGAUUAGCUAGUUGGUGGGGUAAAGGCUCACAAAGGCAACGAUCCCUAGCUGGUUUGAGAGGACGACCAGCCACACUGGGACUGAGACACGGCCCAGACUCCUACGGGAGGCAGCAGUGGGGAAUUUUGGACAAUGGGGGAAACCCUGAUCCAGCCAUCCCGCGUGUAUGAGAAGGCCUUCGGGUUGUAAAGUACUUUUGGCAGAGAAGCGGUAUCUGCAGAAUAAGCACCGGCUAACUACGUGCCAGCAGCCGCGGUAAUUC
rnacentral:rRNA from 1 species